rnacentral:misc_RNA from 1 species
AAAAAAUCAGAAAUGAUAUUUUAAAAAACUUGAAAGAAAGAAGAAAAGAGGUGUUAUAUAAAGAGAUUGGGAAACUGGGAAUGGAAACUAUCGAAGAAAACGGGCAGUAAAUGGUGGUAAACGAUCAUUAUUAGAUGAUCCUUGAUUCAGUUUUAUUGUUGAGAGAUAUACAAAUGUAUGCCAUAUUGCGUUCUCGUACUUGUACAUUUCAAACGCACACAAUAUUUUUCUUCUUUAUAAUUUUGAACGAUUUUUAAUGUCAAAAAAUGUUCAAACAUGUGACUUGAUGUAAAAUUUCUAUACUAUUGCGUAAUAAAAUGAUAUUUACUGUGUCCAUUGAUACCUAUUUAGGAUAUAUAAGUCAAGUAAUGUUAUUAAAUCGUAUUAUAAUUAUUUUAUUAAUAAUAUUUUAAUCAUAUUCAUUAUAGCGAUAUUUCUUGUCCUAUAAAGAAUCACAAAUAAAACCGUUUAUGAAUGCAU